ensembl:snRNA U2 U2 spliceosomal RNA
AUCACUUCUUGGCCUUUUGGCUAAGAUCAAGUGUAGUGUCUGUAAAGAGCUUAGGACAGCAUCAGCACAGAGAAAGCAUUUAAUAAAUGUGAGUCUUUUUUAAAAAAAGUAUUUAUUUGAAAGGCAGAGUUAGAGAGCAUCUUUC